rfam:Schistosoma haematobium scaffold946_13, whole genome shotgun sequence.
AUUCAGCUGAAGAGUCCCAAAUAGAACGAAACGCGUGCCCCGGAU